rnacentral:rRNA from 1 species
UACGAGGGGAGCAAGCGUUGUUCGGAUUUACUGGGCGUAAAUGGCGCGUAGGCGGUCGUGACAAGUCACUUGUGAAAUCUCCGGGCUUAACUCGGAACGGUCAAGUGAUACUGUCGGACUAGAGUACAGAAGGGGCAACUGGAAUUCUCGGUGUAGCGGUGAAAUGCGUAGAUAUCGAGAGGAACACCUGCGGCGAAGGCGGGUUGCUGGGCUGAUACUGACGCUGAUGCGCGAAAGCCAGGGGAGCGAACGGG